CCUACGGGUGGCAGCAGUGAGGAAUAUUGGUCAAUGGGCGGAAGCCUGAACCAGCCAAGUAGCGUGCGGGAUGAAGGCCCUACGGGUCGUAAACCGCUUUUGCACGGGGAUAACACCCUCCACUUGUGGAGGUCUGCAGGUACCGUGCGAAUAAGGGCCGGCUAAUUCCGUUCCAGCCGCCGCGGUAAUACGGAAGGCCCGAUCGUUAUACGGAUUCAUUGUUCUUAAAGGGAGCGUAGGCGGGCGUUCACGUCAGCUGUAAAAUCGCGCGGCUCACCCGCCCCCCGCAGUUGAAACUGGACGCCUUGAGUUCACAACAGGCAGGCGGAAUUCGGGGUGUAGCGGUGAAAUGCAGAGAUAUCACGAGGAACCCCGAUUGCGAAGGCAGCCCGCCGGGGUGCGACUGACGCUGAGGCUCGAAGGUGCGGGUAUCAAACAGGAUUAGAUACCCGUGUAGUC
rnacentral:rRNA from 1 species